rnacentral:rRNA from 1 species
CCUACGGGUGGCAGCAGUGGGGAAUAUUGCACAAUGGGGGGAACCCUGAUGCAGCGACGCCGCGUGGGUGAAGAAGUAAUUCGGUAUGUAAAGCCCUGUCAGCAGGGAAGAAAAUGACGGUACCUGACCAAGAAGCCCCGGCUAACUACGUGCCAGCAGCCGCGGUAAUACGUAGGGGGCAAGCGUUAUCCGGAUUUACUGGGUGUAAAGGGAGCGUAGACGGCAGGGCAAGUCUGGAGUGAAAGGCCGGGGCCCAACCCCCGGACUGCUUUGGAAACUGUGCGGCUGGAGUGCAGGAGGGGUAAGCGGAAUUCCUAGUGUAGCGGUGAAAUGCGUAGAUAUUAGGAGGAACACCAGUGGCGAAGGCGGCUUACUGGACUGUAACUGACGUUGAGGCUCGAAAGCGUGGGGAGCAAACAGGAUUAGAUACCCGAGUAGUC